UAGGGAAUCUUCGGCAAUGGGGGGAACCCUGACCGAGCAACGCCGCGUGAGUGAAGAAGGUUUUCGGUUCGUAAAACUCUGUUGUUAGGGAAGAAAAAAUGUAUAGUAACUAUAUACAAAAGAGACGGUACCUAACCAGAAAGCCACGGCUAACUACGUGCCAGCAGCCGCGGUAAUACGUAGGUGGCAAGCGUUGUCCGGAAUUAUUGGGCGUAAAGCGCGCGCAGGUGGUUUAGAAAGUCUGAUGUGAAAGCCCACGGCUCAACCGUGGAGGGUCAUUGGAAACUAAUAAACUUGAGUGCAGGAGAGAAAAGUGGAAUUCCUAGUGUAGCGGUGAAAUGCGUAGAGAUUAGGAGGAACACCGGUGGCGAAAGCGGCUUUUUGGCCUGCAACUGACACUGAGGCGCGAAAGCGUGGGGAGCAAACAGG
rnacentral:rRNA from 1 species